AGUGAACGCUGGCGGUAGGCCUAACACAUGCAAGUCGAACGGCAGCACAGUAAGAGCUUGCUCUUACGGGUGGCGAGUGGCGGACGGGUGAGGAAUACAUCGGAAUCUACUUUUUCGUGGGGGAUAACGUAGGGGAACUUACACUAAUACCGCAUACGACCUACGGGUGAAAGCAGGGGAUCUUCGGACCUUGCGCGAUUGAAUGAGCCGAUGUCGGAUUAGCUAGUUGGCGGGGUAAAGGCCCACCAAGGCGACGAUCCGUAGCUGGUCUGAGAGGAUGAUCAGCAACACUGGAACUGAGACACGGUCCAGACUCCUACGGGAGGCAGCAGUGGGGAAUAUUGGACAAAGGGCGCAAGCCUGAUCCAGCCAUACCGCGUGGGUGAAGAAGGCCUUCGGGUUGUAAAGCCCUUUUGUUGGGAAAGAAAAGCAGCAGGUUAAUACCCCGCCGUUCUGACGGUACCCAAAGAAUAAGCACCGGCUAACUUCGUG
rnacentral:rRNA from 1 species